AACGAACGCUGGCGGCAUGCCUAACACAUGCAAGUCGAACGAGACCUUCGGGUCUAGUGGCUCACGGGUGCGUAACGCGUGGGAACCUGCCCUUAGGUUCGGAAUAACUCCCCGAAAGGGGUGCUAAUACCGGAUAAUGUCUUCGGACCAAAGAUUUAUCGCCUUAGGAUGGGCCCGCGUUGGUUUAGCUAGUUGGUAGGGUAAAAGCCUACCAAGGCGGCGAUCCAUAGCUGGUCUGAGAGGAUGAUCAGCCACACUGGGACUGAGACACGGCCCAGACUCCUACGGGAGGCAGCAGUGGGGAAUAUUGGACAAUGGGCGAAAGCCUGAUCCAGCAAUGCCGCGUGAGUGAUGAAGGCCUUAGGGUUGUAAAGCUCGUUUACCCGGGAUGAUAAUGACAGUACCGGGAGAAUAAGCACCGGCUAACUCCGUG
rnacentral:rRNA from 1 species